rnacentral:rRNA from 1 species
UCUUCAACGAGGAAUCCCUAGUAAGCGUGAGUCAUCAGCUCAUGUUGAUUACGUCCCUGCCCUUUGUACACACCGCCCGUCGCUACUACCGAUUGAAUGGCUUAGUGAGACUCUCGGAUCGGGUUUUGGGAACCGGCAACGGAUCCUUUCUUCUGAGAAGUUUGUCAAACUUGGUCAUUUAGAGGAAGUAAAAGUCGUAACAAGGUUUCCGUAGGUGAACCUGCGGAAGGAUCAUUAGAAUAUUCGGGAAUUUUUUUCCUAAAUAUCUUAUUCAAAAAAUUUCCAUUCUAUUAAAAAAUAAUUUUUUAAACUUUAUUAAAAAAAUAAAGACAACUUUCAACAACGGAUCUCUUGGCUCUUGCAUCGAUGAAGAACGCAGUGAAAUGCGAUACGUAAUGUGAAUUGCAGAAUUCCGUGAAUCAUCAAAUCUUUGAACGCAAAUUGCACUCCUUGGUAUUCCGAGGAGUAUGCUUGCUUGAGGGUCGAAUCAUAUUAUCGUUUUAUAACGGAUCUGGGUUUUUCCAAGUUUUUUUUAAACCUUGGUAACCUAAAAUUUAUCUUAAUAAUAUUUGUAAUAUUGAAAAUGUGUAUCUUACGUUCACGUGAGUUUAUUGACAAUCAUUAUGAAUUUAUUACGUCGUAUUAUUCACUCGAUUUUUUUAACGAUCGGGGCGAAAAUGAUACAAUUUUUUAAAAUUCGACCUCAAGUCAAGUAAGAAUACCCGCUGAACUUAAGCAUAUCAAUAAGCGGAGGAAAAGAAACUAACAAGGAUUCCCUUAGUAACGGCGAGUGAACUGGGAAGAGCUCAAAUUUAAAAUCAUCAGGGUUUCCUUGAUGAGUUGUAAUUUGAAGAAAGUGUUUUGAUGUUCGGGUUUCAUCUAAAUCCUUUGGGAUAAGGUAUCAUAGAGGGUGAGAAUCCCGUUCGUGAUUAAACCUCGGAUGUCACUUAAUUCAUUUUCUAAGAGUCGAGUUGUUUGGGAUUGCAGCUCAAAAUGGGGUGGUAAAUUUCACCUAAGGCUAAAUAUAUGCGAGAGACCGAUAGCGAACAAGUACCGUGAGGGAAAGAUGAAAAGAACUUUGAAAAGAGAGUUAAAUAGUACGUGAAAUUGUUGAAAGGGAAACGAUUGAAGUCAGUCAUGCUAGUGAGGAAUCAACUCGGUGGUUUUCUUCCGGGUGUACUUUCUCGCCUGGCAGGUUAGCAUCAAUUUCGUUCAUCAUUAAAUGAUCGGGGUAAUGUGGCUUCUCUUCGGAGUAGUGUUAUAGACCUUGGUAGAUGUGAUGAUCGGGAUUGAGGAUUGCAGCGAAUGCUAUUUGGCUAGUCCCCUGAUUUCUGAUGGUCACCUCGCCUUCGACAGCUUGCUGACGUGGGUGGGUUCUGAUUGUCUAGAUGUUAGAGUGAUCAUAUAUUCGCUAAGGAUGCUGACGUAAUGGCUUUAAACGACCCGUCUUGAAACACGGACCAAGGAGUCUAACAUAUGUGCGAGUGUU